rnacentral:rRNA from 1 species
CCUACGGGAGGCAGCAGUGAGGAAUAUUGGUCAAUGGGCGAAAGCCUGAACCAGCCAAGUAGCGUGCAGGAUGACGGCCCUACGGGUUGUAAACUGCUUUUAUACGGGAAUAACGCGCCUUACGUGUACGGCUUUGCAUGUACCGUAUGAAUAAGGAUCGGCUAAUUCCGUGCCAGCAGCCGCGGUAAUACGGAGGGUCCGGGCGUUAUCCGGAUUUAUUGGGUUUAAAGGGAGCGUAGGCGGGUUGUUAAGCGAGCUGUGAAAUGUCGGGGCUCAACCCUAGCAUUGCAGGGGGUACUGGCGUGCUUGAGUACACGGGAGGCAGGCGGAAUUCGUGGUGUAGCGGUGAAAUGCUUAGAUAUGACGAAGAACCCCGAUUGCGAAGGCAGCUUGCUGCACCGGAACUGACGCUGAUGCUCGAAAGUGCGGGUAUCGAACAGGAUUAGAUACCCGAGUAGUC